rnacentral:rRNA from 2 species
AGAUGGGAGCUUGCUCCCUGAUGUUAGCGGCGGACGGGUGAGUAACACGUGGGUAACCUGCCUGUAAGACUGGGAUAACUCCGGGAAACCGGGGCUAAUACCGGAUGCUUGUUUGAACCGCAUGGUUCAAACAUAAAAGGUGGCUUCGGCUACCACUUACAGAUGGACCCGCGGCGCAUUAGCUAGUUGGUGAGGUAACGGCUCACCAAGGCAACGAUGCGUAGCCGACCUGAGAGGGUGAUCGGCCACACUGGGACUGAGACACGGCCCAGACUCCUACGGGAGGCAGCAGUAGGGAAUCUUCCGCAAUGGACGAAAGUCUGACGGAGCAACGCCGCGUGAGUGAUGAAGGUUUUCGGAUCGUAAAGCUCUGUUGUUAGGGAAGAACAAGUACCGUUCGAAUAGGGCGGUACCUUGACGGUACCUAACCAGAAAGCCACGGCUAACUACGUGCCAGCAGCCGCGGUAAUACGUAGGUGGCAAGCGUUGUCCGGAAUUAUUGGGCGUAAAGGGCUCGCAGGCGGUUCCUUAAGUCUGAUGUGAAAGCCCCCGGCUCAACCGGGGAGGGUCAUUGGAAACUGGGGAACUUGAGUGCAGAAGAGGAGAGUGGAAUUCCACGUGUAGCGGUGAAAUGCGUAGAGAUGUGGAGGAACACCAGUGGCGAAGGCGACUCUCUGGUCUGUAACUGACGCUGAGGAGCGAAAGCGUGGGGAGCGAA